GUGGAUGGAUGGAUGGAUGGAUGGAAGGAGGGAUGGAGGGAUGGAUGGAUCCAUGGAUCCAUGGAUCCAUGGAUGGAUGGAACCCCCAGCUGCCCUCCUGGGGUGCGAGGAGGCCUCUGCUGCUCUCACCAUCAGUGAAAGGCCAUAAAUGACUUUUCCAAAGGUUCCCAUUGCCGCUGAUGAGUUUCCCUUCUCCUGCUGAUGGAUGGGGAGGAUCAGAGCACGCCGGGAUUUUUCAGAGGGAAAAUGGGUUUCACACCUGCCCGAGCAUCCCCCGGCAGCAGAGCCUGUGGCCGCCGAACCCACAGGUUUUGGCCAGGACGUGGAUGUUUUCAGCGCCGGGAUAACGCUGUAGGAUUUAUUUCAAUGUAAUAAAUUCAUUAAUACGAAUUUCGGAGCCUGCGAGCAGACAGAGCUCCCGCUAUAUCCAAGCACCAAGCUGAGUUCAGAGCGGGUUUCCCAGACAUGGAGCUAAAUUCCUGGCUGGAUUUCAGGUUGGCUUUAGUGGACACGCACUGGGGCCGCGGGACAAGCCCAGUUUGGGAUUUCCAGGGCUGAGCUGUGGAAUUUCGGUGGAUUUCCCCGGUGGAGAAAGCCGUGGGUGCUGCUACAAUAGAGGAUCCUUAUCAGCGGAUUCCAGCGGGCUCGGCUCCGGUCCCUUGGCAUUUCCAUGCAAACGGGAACGGCUUCCUGAGCCCGUCUGGAAGAAACGCAUCCCUCAGCCUCCCUCCCUCGCAGCCACAGCACAGCAUCGCCGAGAGGAAUUUAUCCGGUGGAAACAGAAGGGGAAGCUCCGCCGGGCUGCGCUUCCUUUCCUCGCGGCGAAAGCCUUGGGAAAAGCAUCCCGGUAAAUCCACGGGGAUGCCAAACACGUGCCUGCAGUUCGGUGUGUGCUCGAGCGCUUUUUUGGGCCGAGCCAGCAGCGGUCCCACAGCUGGGACAGCUCCGGGAGACACCGACACCGACAGCGACAGCGACAGCGACAGCGACAGCGACAGCGACACUUUUCCCCUCAGGCCGGUGCAGUCCCUUUGUUCACCGCAGCCCGGGAGGUUCGUGCCUUCCCUCCCCGGCUCUGCCGCAGUCCCUGGGCCGUGCCCGGACAGGAUCCCGGCUGUUUGCUUUGACUUUGGAAUUACGGCGCUUCGGUUCAGCUCGGCUCAUCUCCGCCUUGUUUAUCUUCCCCAUGGAAACGGCUCCUGGUGCUGCUCAGUAAACAACUCAUUAUCGCAAUUCGUUAUCGCAAUUCGUUAUCGCAAUUCGUUAUCGCAAUUCGUUAUCGCAAUUCGUUAUCGCAAUUGCUGCGGCCCGGGAUCGUCUUCGGAUGUCCCGGGCUGAUUUUAAAACGAGGGCAGCGGCUCGUCCCUGGUUUGUUCAGCUCGGGGGGAGGCUUGAGGUGGGGAUGAGCAGCCUGGAGCUGCUCUUCCCUGUGAGAGGCGGAGGUGCCACGUGGCCACCGGCAAUAAAAACCGGUGACAGUGGCA